GAUCCUGGCUCAGGACGAACGCUGGCGGCGCGCCUAACACAUGCAAGUCGAACGAGAGAGAAGGAGCUUGCUCCUUUGAUCGAGUGGCGAACGGGUGAGUAACGCGUGAGGAACCUGCCUCAAAGAGGGGGACAACAGUUGGAAACGACUGCUAAUACCGCAUAAGCCCACGGCUCGGCAUCGAGCAGAGGGAAAAGGAGCAAUCCGCUUUGAGAUGGCCUCGCGUCCGAUUAG
rnacentral:rRNA from 1 species